CAUUUGUGUCGGCCUUGUUCUUGUCUUUAAAUUAACUUUGUCUGUGUUUCAGGUACUGCACUCUCAAAGACUCUUUUAGCCCUUUGUUUGCUAUCUCGGCGGUCACCCCUCCAGUGACAUCACGCUCCAAAGCCCUGUAGGCUCACCUGUGCUUGUAUAUUGUGGCCCAUUAAAGGAGUUGAACAUAUACAGGGCUGAGGGGAGAUGAUCCUUUUAUGACCAGGAAUAAAAGCUGUGAGGGGAGACUGGAGCUUUGGAGUUGGCUGCAGGCGUGAUUGUGGCAGUGCUGUGAGCGCAGCCUCCCCUUGCACGUAAAACGUACGAGUGGCUCUUGCGUUCUGUUUGCAGUCUCUCGUGGUCCGAUUCCAGCAGGAUCGCAUGUUUAGACCCAACAAUAGGGUUUUACAGAUGUUUAAUUAUGGUUAAUGUUUAAUAAUGAGUAUGAAGGGAGGGGGUGCAGGAUGGAGACACACAGGAGCCACUGAUCUCGGUGUCAGUGGGUCGAGUAAACUAUGACUGACAAAUAGGUUUAAAGAGUAAAAGUAAAAAGUAUUUGUGUAUGAUUGGGUUAACAGCUGUAUACUAAAAUGAGAGUUCUUGAGAAAAUGUCAUUCUGUAAUGAAAGAAGAAGAACAUGUAAUGAAGGAAAGUUUAAAUCCUGUUUGAAAACCCAGCAGGGUGCUCAGGAAGGAGCAACUAAACCCCCCGCUGCUGGUGACCUUCUACAGAUCCACCAUCGAGAGCCUGCUGACCUGUGCAGUGACAGUGCAGCACGCCAGCUGCACGGAGGCACACGGGAAGAGACUGCAGAGGGUGGUGAACGCAGCACAAAAACUCAACGGCCGCCCCCUGCCCACCUUGUCUGCCGUCCACAACUCCUGCUGUCUUAGCAGGGCCAGAAACAUUUUAAAGGACACUCCCCACCCCGGCUACCAUCUUUUCAACCUACUGCCCUCUGGCAGGCGCUACAGAUCCAUAAGGGCCAGAACAAACAGACUCAGGGACAGCUUCUUCCCCAAAGCCAUCACCAUACUCAACUCAGACCUGUACAAAAGUAAUCAGCACUGAAAUAUCAUCAGUUCUCUGCCUGUCUGUCUCUGUCAGUACUGUACUGUGUAUUUAUAUUUAGAGUAGUGUAUACUUUAAUUAUUGUUCAGUUUUAUAAUGUGCUGUAAGCACAUGUGCACUUUUAUAGAGCUGUUCCCAAUUUUAUGCUGUCGUUAUACUAUGUAUAAUGACAAUAAAGGCUUUCAAUUCAAUUCUUUCAAUGUUUUCUUCUCUGUAUGUGGAGAAAGUUAACUCAAUAAAGAGAGAUGAUGAGGUGACCGCUGCACAACCUGUGAACCUGCACAUAGUUUCAUAGUUUUGGACUUUGAGAAAGAAUCGAGAAGAUUUGGAUUCCCUCUCAGCCCUCUCUCUCUCUCUCUCUCCUCAGCAUGAGCUCAGUUAAUUUGGGUUUUAAACUUCAGUUGAAUUCAGAUUUAUGUAUAUGGCAUCAAAUCACAGCAGUCACCUCACGAUACAGGAAGUGUUACCAUGGCAGCAGGAGGGCGUCCCUCUCAGUGCACAGAAGAAACUCAUGUGACUCCUGCAGCUAACAGAGGCUGAACACCUCGCUGUGCAUUUGAAACUAAAUGUUAAUUUCCCACUUUAAUGCACAAACAAGUUAAUAGCAGGGAGGAAAUAAAUGCACUGGAUUACUGACAAAAGAUGAUUAGAAAUAUUUGGUCCUACAAAGUGAACAGCUGACUGACUACAGCUCAGCGUGACAGAAACACCAGAACACAAACACAGCCUGACUGUACAAAACACCAUCAAUGCAAGCUGCUGAACACACAAGCUGUGAUGUUAAAAUAUGAGCUUAUUACACAACAUUACACAAGCAUAAGAAAGAUGACGACCCGUUCAUAUCUGUGAUACGACCGUCACAGUGACAUCACGAGGGGGAGGGGCUUCCUGUGCAGAUGAGGAAAGCUUGAGUGUCGCUCUGAGCCUCAUGCAGACUUCUUCUCUGUAGAAGCUUCGUUUCUGUCCAACAGGAUGAUUUUGGUUCCAGUGCUGCUCCUCCGUGUCUUCACUGAUGUGAGCUGUGAGGAGCUCAGUCCAGUCCACAGUGAGCUGAUUGUGCUCACCGUGGACAACACCGUGUCUCUGUCCUACAACUACCCCAAACUCGUAACUACAGAUUAUUUCUUCUGGUAUCGGCAACAUCCAGGAAAACCACCUCAGUUUCUCAUCUCACACUCAGCAUCAGGAUCUGUGCUAAAUAAUCCAGUCCCGGGACUGAAGGUCAAAGUGGAGGAAAAACGGAUCCAGAUGAACAUCUCCUCUGUCACAGUGGCAGAUUCUGCUGUUUACUUCUGCGCCGUGAAGCCCACAGUGACAGGAAACCCCGAGUCCCUGUACAAAAACCCGACAUCUCACCAAAGAGCGCUCAUGCUUUAGCUCCUCUGUUCUCUUAGACAACACCGCCAUCAAGUGGAUUUUUCAAGCUUUGCAUGAUGCUAGAAGUUUAUUUGAUUAAUUUACAGAGAACUGAUGAUUCACAGAGUUUGUAAAGACGUUGGUAUCAGAGAAUGAAAUGAAAAUCACAAAGUUUAGUACAUUUCCAUCCGUUUUUGGAAUCAUCAGCGUCGCCAACAGGGGAAAAUAUCUGAUUGUUGCUUGAUGGCUCAGACAGAACAGCAGAGAUGUUUUGUGCUCAUCUGCUCAUAAGAGGAAAGCAGUGAAAAGGAAACCACAGCCUGUUUAUUUAUGUCCUGUUUCCAUCAUGAGGAGAAGGUAAGCUGUGAAUAUACAUGUGGAAAAGCACCGUGACGAAAGUUUUCUUGUGAUUUGGUGCAAAAUAAAUAAAAUUGAAUUGAAUUAGAAAAGUGCUGAAUCAUAUUUAUUCUUGUUUUGUUUGAAAAUCAAUAACCAAUCAGAGUCUGAGUUGUUGUUGGUCAUUUGAUAGGAAAUAGAUGCAGAGAUUUAUUGAAAAAUGCAAACAUGAAUAAGUG